UGUGCCCUCAUCACUCAUAUGACUGGCUAGUGUUUCCUUCCAGAAAAUGCCUGAGUCUAGGGCCUGUUUUUUCCCAUACUUCUGAACUUGCUGGCUGGUGGACUCCUGGGAUAAAGAGAAGGAACAGAGAAAACACUGGAAACGUGGUAUAUCACUCCCUCAGAGAGUCUUCCUGCCAGUUGCCUCUGUUUGUUAGGGACCUGCGCGCAGGAGCCACACCCACUGAGCCCAUGACUGCUGACAUCUGCUCACCCUAGAGCCUACGGAUCACAGCAAGAGAAGCCACAGUGAGAAGCCUGAGCACUGCACCUCGAGAUUAGCCCCUACCAUCCUCAGCUAGAGAAAACCCCAUGCAGCAAUGACA